rnacentral:rRNA from 1 species
AUGCCUCUCAAGUUUUGGGAUGAUGCCUUCAUCACAGCUACCUUUCUUAUAAACAUGCUUCCUACCAAAGUCCUCAAUUUUGACACUCCCAGUGAAAAACUUCUCCAAAUCACACCCAAUUAUGAGCCUCUCCAUAUCUUUGGUUGUGCUUGCUGGCCCAACCUUCGUCCAUAUAACAAACAUAAACUCUCUUUCCGAUCCAAACGGUGUGUUUUUCUUGGAUAUAGUCCUUGUCACAAAGGUGUUAAAUGCCUCGAUGUGACCACUGGUCGUGUUUAUGUUUCUCGAGAUGUUGUCUUUGAUGAGAAUGUUUUCCCAUUUGCUUCUCUUAAUCCUAAUGCUGGUCGACGUCUCCGUGAAGAAAUUCUUCUUCUUCCACAAGAUAACUCAUCUUCGGUAUGUAUGGAUAGGGGUGUGCAUACUAAUGAUCAUUAUUUGCGUCUUGUUCCUGUUGUUAAUCCUCCUCAGGUUGCUGUCAAUGAAACCCCGGUUGUUUCAGCUCAAGCAUCUGGU